UGACGCUACCUCGUUCUUUCCGAUGUCUUGCCCCUCUCCCCUCUCUAUUUGCGCACCAGCUAUAAAACAACUACCAUUUCUUCAAUCUUCAUAUUCUCUUUGUAUGAAAAAUCACUUUUUUUUAAUGAAAAAGCCUGCCAUUUGAUUGUAAAAAAUUCACAGAAAAAGGAAAUAAUCAGAAAUGUGUGGAGGAGCUAUAAUAUCGGAUUUGUUGCUGCCGAGCCGAACAUCGCGCAAGCUGACUGCUGACUUGCUAUGGGGCAGUGGCGGCGGCCCCGCCGCCGAUCUGGGCAACGGCAAGAGGAAGAUUCCGGGGAGUAACCACUCAAAACCACUGAGAUCUAAGCCGGUUGUUCAUAUUGACGAUGAUUUCGAGGCUGAUUUUCAGGACUUUAAGGAUCGCUCCGAUGAUGAAGUGGUGACCGAUGUCAAGCCUUUUGCCUUCUCUGCUUCCAAAAACUCCAACCUUCGGGGUAAUUAAAUAUAUUUUUUUUAAUCCUUUUUUCCCCUUAUUUUAUUAUUGUUUUCAGGGUUUUUAUUUUUUUAUUUUUAUAUAAUCGUCUGAUGUUUGUUGCUUGAUGUAAAUAGCUAACGUUUUGAUGUUAGAAAUGUUGUUUUUGACUCUGAUAAUUAGCUCUAGUGCUUGAUUACGAUUUCCUGUUUUAGGAUAGAUGUUUGGAUAUUACAUAAGUUUUUAGUGAGAAAAUAUUGAUUUUUGUGGUUGUGAAUGAUAUAAUUGGGUUGGUUUUGUGUUAUUUUUUGGAUUAAAAAUUGCAAUUUAUCGAUAUUAAUGUGGAUUUAAGAAUGAUCUUGUGGAAAUAUUGGAAUAUGUAUGGAGUUGCUAUUUUGAUGAAAGGUUUUUGUUUGGAAGAAAAAAAUAAAAAAAUGGGGAUUGAUAUCAGCGUUUCUGAUUUAUGUUUCUUUUGAUACAAUCAGAUAUAUCUGGGAUUAGAUAAUCAUUUUUAUCUAAAUUUGCUCAUUCUGAAACUAAUAUUUUUUAUCCAGACUAGAUCAUAAGAAUGAUCUUUCUGCAAGAGAGAGAAAAUUUCCUUGAUCUCUCACAUAAGUUUGUAAUUUUAUUUUAUUCUUCCUUGAGGUUGGUGUGGGAUUCAAAAUUGCUCAUGUCAAAUGCAAGAUUCAAUUGUCUUACAUCAAAACCUGGUCUUUCAGAAUUUCUGUUUCUCUUUGAUAUUGUAGGGGAAAGGAAAUAACUGGAUGAAUAUAAAUUUUGAAUGUUAAUCAUGUAAGUUUCAGCAAAACUUGUAAUAUUCUCUCUCUCAGGUUGAUUAGAUGUACGGUUCUUACGUUUUCAUGACUUUGAUAGUACUUCCAUGAACAUCGAGAUUGUUUGUAUUCGGUUUCUGAAUCAGAGUAGAAGCAUUUUUUGCAUUGAGAACAAACAUUGUGUCUCUUUGUUUUUUCACUUGUGGGGAUAGAUGAAGCAAUUGGAUUAUAUAAACUGAAAUCCCUUUUUUUUUUUUUUUUUCAAAUUAAAUCUGUGUUUGUAAUUUUAUGGUAUCUUGAUCUCUUGCUUCAACUUUGUUUAUAUUAUUCUUUUUNGACUUCGGGUGGGGAGAAAAUUGUGCUAAAACUCCAGAAAUUUCAUCCGUCCUCUCGGCUGUUGUUGAAGACAAUCAAACUCAAUUUGUGGAGGAUGCUAGCCCAGCAAAGAAACUCAAGUCAGAUUCUGGAGAUCUGGUGCCUGCUGCUGAAAACACCGAAGAUCCAUCGUUUGAGUCCCAGAUGAAGCCCUUUCAGAUGCCAUAUCUGGAUGGAAAUUGGGAAGCUUCACUCGAUGCAUUCCUCAAUGGAGAUGCAAUUCAAGAUGGUGGGAACGAAAUGGAUCUUUGGUCAUUUGAUGAUGUUCCAGCCAUGCUGGGUGGAGUUUACUGAGCACCAUUUCUGGCUAUCUGUACAUAAAUCUUCAUGUUAGUGAAUUUUGUCUCUUUUUCAGCUCUUAAUAUCUUUAUUUAAAUCCAAUCUGCACUUGAUAAAGCAUAACCGCUUGCUGGUUUUCUCCCUUUUUGUCUUCUUAGGUGCGUUGUUGAUGGUCGUCGUGGAUGGAAAUUCAAGCAUGCUUUGGUGCUGUAGAAGACUGGCUAAAUAAGCAUUACAUAGGCAAUAGGGAUCGAACUAUCUUUUGAGACUUUUAAUUUGGGAUGAUUUUAAAUUUGUCUGUGUGGAUGUUAAAAGACACGUAAACUGAUGUUUCUGUUAUGCCGUGUUUGUUGGUUGCUACAUUAUAUCUUUCUUCUUGUAGACGUAUGCUAUUUUUCCUAAAGCAUUAUGACUUCAUUACCAGCGUCUUGUUUUCUGUAUACUAAGGUGGAGAUAGGAUUCGAGACCCUGUUUUCCUUCUCUUUCGGUCGAUUUUUGAAUCCUAAACUGCUUCUCUUGUGACUAUGAAGUUUAGAAUUAAUAGAAUGAGAUCAGUAUGUGUGUCUAGAAAAUAUUCAACUGUUAGUUUUUGAAUCAGGAAGUCCUGAAAUAGCAUGUUUUAAUACGGUACAAUAAAUAAGAUUUUAUUGUCUUUUUAUUUUUUAAUAUUUGUUCAACUCUAUUCGAUACGAGCAGGUAGGACUGGUAGCACCAUUGACUUGGUAUAGAAUUUUAGGAAGCGUGUGCAGCAGCAGUUUAGAUACUAUGAGUAUUUGCAAGUUUGGUUGAGAAUAUUAGGUGAACAGACGCUGUCUGAUUUGAUAUAAUUUUAAGGAGUUUUCUUAGGCUACAUAAUUUGGUGUACCGAAGGGUGUACACCUUUUACAUGGUGGGGUAUACUUGAAUAUUUUAUUAACGUGGAUCCUUUUUUUUUUU
rnacentral:lncRNA from 1 species